GAGGGAUAACACUGAAGUAAUUGGUACUAACUACCCAAUAAUUACUUCGGGAAGGCAUUCUUUUGGAGUUGAAAGUUCCGGCGGUUAGAGAUGGGCAUGCGUUGUAUUAGCUAGAUGGUGAGGUAAUGGCUCACCAUGGCGACGAUACAUAGGGGGACUGAGAGGUUAACCCCCCACAUUGGUACUGAGACACGGUCCAGACUCCUACGGGAGGCAGCAGUGAGGAAUAUUGGUCAAUGGACGCAAGUCUGAACCAGCCAUGCCGCGUGCAGGAAGACGGCUCUAUGAGUUGUAAACUGCUUUUAUGCGAGGGUAAACGCAGGUACGUGUACCUGUCUGAAAGUAUCGCAAGAAUAAGGAUCGGCUAACUCCGUG
rnacentral:rRNA from 1 species